AAAAAAAAGAAAGAGAGAAGGAAGGAGAAAAAGGAACGAAAAGGAGCGCAUCCAAGCGGGCCAAUUUCACUUGAUUUUUAUGGGCACACUCUUGGGCUGCACGCGUACCACGCGCGUGAUGAGUAAUAAUGUGGAGGAUAAGCAACUCGAUCCUCUCUCUGGAAUUCUAUUUUGGCGCCAGUUUGGAUCCGUGAUCGGACGAACGUCAACGUCGGACGUCGGGAGACCGUCUCGAAUCGGGCAACUUUCCAAAACCUAGUCUCAGCCGCUUUUCACCUCCAUCAACGUUCCAACCAUUUGGAGUUAUUCUGGCAAAGGAUUAUUAUCCUCAAGAUUUAAAUGUUGUAUGGAAUUCUUCUAUAAAGGACAAUCUGUGUGCUUAAUAUCACGAAAAAUACGAGUUUUUCGCGAAUCAUUUGUUCUUUCGUAUGAAAAAUUUCGUAUUAUUUUCAAUAUUCAUUUUUAGCUUUCUGGAUACGAGCCAAAUAUCUGGUAUAUAGAAGAAAUACCACUUAUUUGACGCAAAAUGGAAUACAAAAUCUUUCUUAUAUUUCUGAUUAAAUUGCAAAUCCCGUGAUAUUAUCACCAGUUAUGAAGAAGCUUUUAUAUAAAUUUAUAUGUAUAUAUUAUAUAAAGAGAGAAAUACGUAAG